UACGGAGGGUGCAAGCGUUAAUCGGAAUUACUGGGCGUAAAGCGUGCGUAGGUGGUUCGUUAAGUCCGUUGUGAAAGCCCCGAGCUCAACUUGGGAAUUGCAGUGGAUACUCCCGAGCUGGAGCACUGUAGAGGCUCAUGGAAUUCCGGGUGUAGCGGUGGAAUGCGUAGAGAUCCGGAAGAACACCGGUGGCGAGGCGGUGAGCUGGGCAGUUGCUGACACUGAGGCGCGACAGCGUGGGGAGCAAACAGGG
rnacentral:rRNA from 1 species